GACGAACGCUGGCGGCGUGCUUAACGCAUGCAAGUCGAACGGAAAGGCCCUGCUUGCAGGGUACUCGAGUGGCGAACGGGUGAGUAACACGUGGGUGAUCUGCCCUGCACUUCGGGAUAAGCCUGGGAAACUGGGUCUAAUACCGGAUAGGAGCCAUUUUUAGUGUGAUGGUUGGAAAGUUUUUUCGGUGUAGGAUGAGCUCGCGGCCUAUCAGCUUGUUGGUGGGGUAAUGGCCUACCAAGGCGGCGACGGGUAGCCGGCCUGAGAGGGUGGACGGCCACAUUGGGACUGAGAUACGGCCCAGACUCCUACGGGAGGCAGCAGUGGGGAAUAUUGCACAAUGGGCGCAAGCCUGAUGCAGCGACGCCGCGGGGGGGAUGACGGCCUUCGGGUUGUAAACUCCUUUCGCUAGGGACGAAGCUUUUUGUGACGGUACCUAGAGAAGAAGCACCGGCUAACUACGUG
rnacentral:rRNA from 1 species